AGUGAACGCUGGCGGUAGGCCUAACACAUGCAAGUCGAACUGCAGCACAGUAAGAGCUUGCUCUUACGGGUGGCGAGUGGCGGACGGGUGAGGAAUCCAUCGGAAUCUACUUUUUCGUGGGGGCUAACGUAGGGAAACUUACGCUCAUACCGCAUACGACCUACGGGUGAAAGCAUGGGAUCUUCGGACCUUGCGCGAUUGAAUGAGCCGAUGUCGGAUUAGCUAGGUGGCGGGGUAAAGGCCCACCAAGGCGACGAUCCGUAGCUGGUCUGAGAGGAUGAUCAGCCACACGGGAACUGAGACACGGUCCAGACUCCUACGGGAGGCAGCAGGGGGGAAUAUUGGACAAUGGGCGCAAGCCUGAUCCAGCCAUACCGCGUGGGUGAAGAAGGCCUUCGGGUUGUAAAGCCCUUUUGUUGGGAAAGAAAAGCAGCAGGUUAAUACCCCGCUGUUCUGACGGUACCCAAAGAAUAAGCACCGGCUAACUUCGUG
rnacentral:rRNA from 1 species